rnacentral:rRNA from 1 species
GACGAACGCUGGCGGCGUGCCUAAUACAUGCAAGUCGAGCGAAUCUUUAGGAGCUUGCUCCUAUUGGUUAGCGGCGGACGGGUGAGUAACACGUGGGCAACCUGCCUGUAAGACUGGGAUAACUUCGGGAAACCGGAGCUAAUACCGGAUAAUCCUUUUCCUCUCAUGAGGAAAAGACUGAAAGACGGUUUCGGCUGUCACUUACAGAUGGGCCCGCGGCGCAUUAGCAGUUGGUGAGGUAACGGCUCACCAAGGCGACGAUGCGUAGCCGACCUGAGAGGGUGAUCGGCCACACUGGGAC